rnacentral:rRNA from 1 species
UACGUAGGGUGCAAGCGUUAAUCGGAAUUACUGGGCGUAAAGCGCGCGCAGGCGGUCCUUCAAGUCAGAGGUGAAAGCCCAGAGCUCAACUCUGGAAUGGCCUUUGAGACUAGAGGACUUGGGUACGGGAGAGGUGAGUGGAAUUCCGAGUGUAGAGGUGAAAUUCGUAGAUAUUCGCAAGAACACCAGUGGCGAAGGCGGCUUACUGGACCGGUACUGACGCUGAGGCGCGAAAGCUAGGGGAGCAAACGGG